UUCUGUUUGGUUCUUUCUAUUUCUAUUAUUCUGUAUAAAAUAAUUGUCAUUUCUACAUCACUCAUCUAAUAUCUAGAAUAAUAGAACUCUGUCAAAAAUUAAAUUUUGCAUCAUCCCUCAGAGUGAUUAAGCAUUAAUCUCAGUUAUUUCUUAAUUAAUUUAUUGUUGCAGCGCUGUAAGACACAGGGUUUCAGGGGUGUAAUUUUAACCAGAGUAAAGAUGUAAGAAAUUGGGGUUAUAGUGGGAAAAGGAACAACAGUACUGAAGAAAAUGUGGUAUCUUGCAGAUGUGACUGCGUGAUAACCAGGCAGCCUGACUGAUACUUUGAGAUGUCUAGUGUCCACUAGACUUUUAGUUACAUCACUAGGCCUGCUAUUAACUCAAAACAGGCCCAUAUAAACAUUCUGCAAAAAGGAGUCAGCAAUUCCGAAGUCUGUAAAAUCUCCCCUUCUCCUAGAAACAAAGAAAAAAAAGGAUAUUCAGCAUUCAAAACUAGGGAGCUUAAGCACAGAAUCUAUUCAGUACCAUUGAAGUUUUUUCUCAGUUUUGGACUGCUGUCACUAUUUGAGAAGAUAGCACCAUUAAGAGAACUGUACUAAGAAUAAACUGCUAUAUGUAGAUAUCUAUAACUUGCCAGAUCUUUUGGUAAUGUUAAAAUGUGAGAAAGGUUGAUUUUCUGGAACACCAGUUCUGGCGAUAUAUAGAAUAUUCUGCUUUAGGAAGUGAGUAAAGAGGAUGCUUUUAAAAAGCAGCAUUCUGAAUUUGUUUACUUCCCUUCACCUCACAGAGAUAAAAGAGCAUCAAAUGAAACAGAGUGCUUUAAAUUCUUAUGCUGUCACCUGGAGAUGCUCUGAUCCGGCACUUCUCCAGAGCUCUGUUGUCUUAUGGUUAUAAGUUUUGGGUAAACAGUAUGGCGAAUAGUGACUUCAGUAUACCUAUAGAUCAACUCAGUAACAUGUUCUUACUCCGGGGAGUCAGCAGCACAACUCAGUAAAAAAAGUGUAAAACCCUGAUGCCUCUGGUUUAGGAUAUCUUGAGAGAUCUGGACAUCUGGAACCAUAAAGCUGCCAGAAGUAGGCUAAUGCUUUUGCUUGGCAGAAGGCAAUUAAAAGGAAAGCUUUCUGUGAAGCUGCCAGCAUUUUGAAAAUGUUCAGCCAACAAAGUGGUGAAGAGAUCUUCACCUUGAUACUGAGUUUUGACAUCUCAUUACUGAUAGUCAUUUGGUAACUGUGUGCUCUGGUGCCUACAAUCUCAAACAUAACGGAAAUUAUAAUUUAUUUAGGUAGAGCUCUGGAUCAGAGGGUGACUCAAGCAGAAAUCUAGGGCAGCCCUGGAAAUAAUACAUAGAGGGGGGAAAAGAAAUAAGACUGGUAGGAGAAAAUAAGUAUUGACAGUAACUACAGGUAGAAAUACGCGGUUAUUGUUAGCUCUGCAGAAUUUAGUGGGUGUUCCUUCAACUGCGCUGUUGAACUACUGAUAAAGGAAGACAUGACAAAACCACCAGGCUAAAUCAAACACUGAAAGAUGUAGAGCAUCAGAAUAUUUCAGGGAUUCAUGUAUUUAAUUAUAAAACACACAGAAUAAGUUACAGCUGUCAAUUUUAAAGCAUCAGUUUAGCACCAGUAAACUACAGACUUGCUUGUGAAAUACCAUAUACGUUUUUUCCUGCACUCAUUGAAUCUGGAUAUAUUAACCAUUGGGCUGUAAUGAAUGUUACAAACUGCUGAGUUUUUUCCCCUCAAACACAUGUGAAGUUAUGUUAGGCUUUGAAAAAAAUAUCUUUGACUGCAAUAUCUGAUAUUUUUCACAAAGAACAUAAGAAAAAGUUUCCCUAAGAUAGUCUAGUUUGUGAACCUUUUAAGCUUCCUUAAACAGGCAUAAAAAAUUUGUUGUGUUUCUGUUUCCAUGUUCUCAUUCCCAGACAAAAUAUCUUUACACACUCUCACUUUUUGCUCUCUAACGUCUUGUCCUCAUUGUAGUUAAUGUUCACUACAGAAUAAAAGACAGAAAUUAGGCCCAUUAUAUAUACAUUCAUAUUAGCAGAUGAGAUUUCAGGUGUGACUUAGAGCAAUAGAGUGUUACAGGGAAGAAACUCUGCAGAGCAUUCAGCAGCCUCAGAGGUUUAGCAGGAUGACUUUAAAUCACCAGUGCCCUCUGCUGCUCUGUGGAUGGUCUUUUAUUUUGUGUUGUUUUUCCAUUCAGCCAGCUAUAACUUUGACAGUACUCCAAGCCUUCCUUAAUUACUGCUUCCUUAUAGGCUGAUUCAUGGGUACUACGAUGCACAGAAUUUUGUCCCUAUGGGACUAUACAGCCUCUCACCUCCAGCACUGACAUGGGUGAAUUGCUGAGGCAGGACAUGAGACAACAGCCUAAGAGCCAGAGCUAUCGCUGCCCUGCACCACUGCUCUGGUAGGAAUGCUCAUCCUCGCCAAAAGCAGGAAAUCACAAGGUUUUCAAGGAAUUUUCCUGCUUGCCCCUAAAGACCUGGAAUAGAAAGAGAAGGUUGUUUCUGCUUUAGCCUAGCAGGCUCAGUUUUGAGGAAAGAUUCUGUAUAGCAGAUAGACUAAAUCUAAUAACAUGAAAUAUGAAAGAGAAAAUAUGAGUAGUUACAAUUUCAUCAGCUGCACAGUGUAAUACCUACCUAGGGGGAAAAUCAAUCAGCUAGUGUCUGAUCAGUGCUUUCUUGAUAGCAUUAGCUAUGUGAGUUAUACAACCUCUGGAGAUAGUGCUUCUUUUCCUUACCUGUGUAAUUCAUUUAUUAGCCUAAAUUUACAGCUGUCAGCAUCGAUUUAGAGCACCAAAUCUAAAUGAACACACAUUCUGUGGAUUCCAAGGACAGACAGCUAAAAUCCUGAGAUGAAGGUAACAAAUUUUUACAUAGAACAGAUAACUAAUUUCUAUUUCAUUUAUAUAAGCAUAAAAAUAAUUGAAUUCCUGUCUGGCCAGGAGUUCUGAAUUUGGUUUCCAUUUCCCUUCCUCCUUAAGGGUAGUAUGUAACCCCUGAUAUGAUGCAGUAACUCUACAGUCUUCAAAACUGGGGAUAUAGUCAACUUAAAGUAAAAGGAGGUGCAGUUUUUUGUGACUGUAGUCUACUGUUUUAUGCAUGUCCAAAAUCCUUCUGCACAUUCACUUCUCUGUACAGUUGACCACAUAUGAUAUAGGACACUCCGAACUUGUCUGACAGACAAAAUAAUGAUAAUUCCAAUAUUUACUUGGUAUGGCCUUUAUGUAAAGGUACAAAAGAAGCCAAAAAAUCUUAUUAUUCUAUUGGGAUAACUAUUCAAUUGAUUCAUAAAGUAAUAUGGUUCCUGCCUUACAGUAGCUUACAAGCCAAUUAAGGCUUAAUUGAGCAAGUAGGACAAUGGCAGAGGGAAUAGGAGACAGCUUGGGCGCUCCCUGAUUUGUUUGAACUAGUGUCCUCUGCUUUCCCUUCAGAUAUGGAUGUUUAAAGAAUGGGCAGAAGCCUUGAUUUCUUGGCAAGGAAGGGCUGCUAUGCACAGACACUGCUUGCACACUUCUGGAGAGAGACACUGGUUCCUGUUCUUCUUCAUGUUUUACGAGUUAAUGGGCACUGUGGUGAAACCUGUACUCUUCCAAAAGAGAUAGAAGAAAAAAAGUGGGAAAAAAAGUGAAGGAAAGAAGAACAAAGGGUGGUAAAGGGAAGACAAGUUCUGAGAGCAAGAAAAUAAGUAACUAGUGUCUUAUAGUCCUUCAAAAAGAGCUCAGCCUUAACCAGAGAGUCAAAUCUGCUACUGCUGGAGACUCCACCAUUCAUCACCAAAACAGCUUUGUUUAUGGAAAGAUGGUCCUGCCCUCAUAGCCACAAAAAACCUACUUAAAUUUUGCUUUUUCCAGUGUACAAGCCUUGUGUUUUCAUCUCUUUUGUCUACAAAGCAAACUCUAGACAGUUAGGAGUCAAGAAUGUACAAUUAUAAAUCUAGAUUAAGUAAUCCAUGUAGCACUGCUUCUAGGAAGAAAACACUACCUUAAAAGUCUGUGUCAGGAACUGAUUCCAUGUCAUGGACCCUUAGAAUGCUGGGAUAAGCUUCUUACCAGCAUCUUUUUGAACUAGAAAAACAUCCAGACACGACACUGAGCAGCAGCUGUUUACACUAGUUAUAUCCUAAGGCUUGUCCUGCCGUUCAAAAUAUGUGUGCUAUAUUCCGGCUAUACACUUCAUGCUAACUCAAAUAGUUCAUUUGGAUAGCCUGGUUUUGCAAAGUACUGUAUAUCCUGACUGAUCUUAUUAUGAAAUAUUUUCAUUCUUGUUGAUAGUCCAAGGAAACUCUUUCCGGGUGUCAGCCACAGAUUGCUUGUAUUUUUCACUAUGAGAUUGAUUGUAUCAUUAAAGUUAUUUUCACA